AUGUGUAAAACCAUAUCUGAUAUUCACUUGACUGAGGGUAGUGAUCGCGUGUAUUGGGGGCUUAGUAAGAGUGGUAAAUUCUCUACCAAAUCUAUGUAUAAAUGGCUUGAGAGUCCCCUUAGCGGGUGCCAUUAUAGAAGGAUAUGGAAGGCAAAAAUCCCCCUUAAAAUCAAGAUCAUUUUAUGGCAGUUGUUGCAGGAUGCAGUCCUUACUAGACAAGUUAUGAAAAAGAAAAAACGACUAGGAAAUCCUAGUUGUUCCUUUUGCAGCGAAUUGGAAUCUUUCCAACAUUUGUUUUUUACUUGUCCGGUGGCUACAGUUGUUUGGCGAUCUGUUGGGGUGGUACUAGGUACUGAUAGUUGUCCGAACAAUUAUUAA
rnacentral:rRNA from 1 species